rnacentral:rRNA from 1 species
CACUGGUGAGUAACACGUAUCCAACCUGCCGUCUACUCUUGGACAGCCUUCUGAAAGGAAGAUAAUACAAGAUGGCAUCAUGAGUCCGCAUGUUCACAUGAUUAAAGGUAUUCCGGUAGACGAUGGGGAUGCGUUCCAUUAGAUAGUAGGCGGGGUAACGGCCCACCUAGUCUUCGAUGGAUAGGGGUUCUGAGAGGAAGGUCCCCCACAUUGGAACUGAGACACGGUCCAA